rnacentral:rRNA from 1 species
CCUGGGGAGUACGGCCGCAAGGUUGAAACUCAAAGGAAUUGACGGGAGCCCGCACAAGCAGUGGAGUAUGUGGUUUAAUUCGACGCAACGCGAAAAACCUUACCAAGGAUUGACAUCCUAGGAACCCGGCGUAAUGGCUGGGGUGCCUCUUCGGAGGAAUCUAGAGACAGGUGGUGCAUGGUUGUCGUCAGCUCGUGUCGUGAGAUGUUGGGUUAAGUCCCGCAACGAGCGCAACCCUUACUGUUAGUUGCUACGCAAGAGCACUCUGGCAGGACUGCCGUUGACAAAACGGAGGAAGGUGGGGACGACGUCAAAUCAUCAUGCCCCUUAUAUCUUGGGCUACACACGUACUACAAUGGCGCAGAACAAAGGGCAGCGACCCCGCGAGGGUAAGCAAAUCCCAUAAAAUGCGUCCCAGUUCGGACUGCAGGCUGCAACUCGCCUGCACGAAGUUGGAAUUGCUAGUAAUCGCGAAUCAGCAUGUCGCGGUGAAUACGUUCCCGGGCUUUGUACGCACCGCCCGUCAAACCAUGAGAGUCGGGAACACCCGAAGUCCGUAGCCUAACCGCAAGGAGGGCGCGGCCGAAGGUGGGCUUGAUAAUUGGGGUGAAGUCGUAACAAGGUAGCCGUAAUCU